GACGAACGCUGGCGGCGUGCUUAACACAUGCAAGUCGAACGCUGAAGCUCAGCUUUUGUUGGGUGGAUGAGUGGCGAACGGGUGAGUAACACGUGAGUAACCUGCCCCCUUCUUUGGGAUAACGCCCGGAAACGGGUGCUAAUACUGGAUAUUCACUGGUCUUCGCAUGGGGGUUGGUGGAAAGGGUUUUUCUGGUGGGGGAUGGGCUCGCGGGCUAUCAGCUUGUUGGUGGGGUGAUGGCCUACCAAGGCUUUGACGGGUAGCCGGCCUGAGAGGGUGACCGGUCACAUUGGGACUGAGAUACGGCCCAGACUCCUACGGGAGGCAGCAGUGGGGAAUAAUGCACAAUGGGCGCAAGCCUGAUGCAGCGACGCCGCGUGAGGGAUGGAGGCCUUCGGGUUGUGAACCUCUUUCGCUCAUGGUCAAGCCGCAACAAUGGUUGUGGUGAGGGUAGUGGGUAAAGAAGCGCCGGCUAACUACGUG
rnacentral:rRNA from 1 species